rnacentral:rRNA from 1 species
UUUAAUGGCCGCAGUAAUUUGACUGUGCAAAGGUAGCAUAAUCAUUAGUCUAUUAAUUGUGGACUUGUAUGAAUGGUUGGACGAAAUAUUAACUGUCUCAUUAUUAAAAAUUUAAUUUAAAUUUUGAGUUAAAAUGCUUAAAUGCUAUUAUAGGACGAGAAGACCCUUUAGAUCUUUAAUUAUUUAUUUUUAGGUUUUAUUUAGUUAAAAUUUAUUACUUAUGAGUAUUUAUUUUUUGUUGGGGUGACGUGGAGAUAUAAUUAACUCUUUAUGUUUUUAUACAAUUAUUUUUGUAUAUAUGACCUUAUUUUAUUGUUAUAAGAUUUAGAUACCUAAGGGAUAACAGCGUAAUUCUUUUUGAGAGUUCAUAUCGACAGAAGAGAUUGCGACCUCGAUGUUGGAUUAAGAUUAUGAUUGGGUGUAGGUGCUUGAUUAAUAGGUCUGUUCGACCUUUAAAUUCUUACAUGAUCUGAGUUCAAAAACCGGA